rnacentral:rRNA from 1 species
GACGAACGUUGGCGGUGCGCUUAAUGCAUGCAAGUCGAACGAGAACUGGUUCAUUCGUAAGAAUGUUCCAGGGACAGUGGCGAACGGGUGCGUAACACGUGAGAAACCUGCCCUGGAGAUCGGGAUAGCCCGAGGAAACUCGGAUUAAUACCGGAUACCUUCACCGAGUCGCAUGGCUCAAUGAAGAAAUGGUCCGCCGCUCCAGGAUGGUCUCGCGGCCUAUCAGCUUGUUGGUGAGGUAACGGCUCACCAAGGCAGCGACGGGUAGCUGGUCUGAGAGGACGAUCAGCCACACUGGGACUGAGACACGGCCCAGACUCCUACGGGAGGCAGCAGCAGGGAAUAUUGCACAAUGGGCGAAAGCCUGAUGCAGCGACACCGCGUGCGGGAUGAAGGCCUUCGGGUUGUAAACCGCUUUCAGGAGGGACGAAAAUGACGGUACCUCCAGAAGAAGGCCCGGCCAACUAUG